CUAGACUCGCGGGACGACCCGCUCACACGGCAGACCGCUGAGAGCUCCUUGGAGGGAAAACGUUCUGUCCGGUCGCUGCCACGGAGGGAGGGAACCUGAGAUGGCAGGAUUUGGGAGCCAGCUGGACCACUGCGGGAACAACGGUGCUCUCCGUCAGGGGUACCCAGAGACAGUCGUGGGGUGCUAAGGGAAUAUCAACAAGAGGACCUUGGGCCAGAACCCCAUCAAGUUGGAAAAGCAAACGGUAGCAUCCCCAGAGACCCUUGAGCAGGACUGACAGCUAAUAGACAAUUUUGUAUGCAGGAGCCAAAG